UACGAAGGGGGCUAGCGUUGCUCGGAAUCACUGGGCGUAAAGGGCGCGUAGGCGGCCAUUCAAGUCGGGGGUGAAAGCCUGUGGCUCAACCACAGAAUUGCCUUCGAUACUGUUUGGCUUGAGUUUGGUAGAGGUUGGUGGAACUGCGAGUGUAGAGGUGAAAUUCGUAGAUAUUCGCAAGAACACCAGUGGCGAAGGCGGCCAACUGGACCAAUACUGACGCUGAGGCGGCGAAAAGCGUGGGGAGCAAACAGG
rnacentral:rRNA from 1 species